GGCCUCCUGGUGCUUACCACAGGCUGUGUUCUUACACUGUCUGUACAGAAAGAGGAGGCAGAGUAAACCCACCUCAUAUACACCCCAGCCCAGGCCCUUUGCCUGGUCCACAUUGUGAAUGAGGGAACAUGA